UUGAUCGGGAUUGGGGGGAGUUGAACCAACUGUCUCGUAACUGUGUGUCUCUGUGUAUUUGUUGGGGGUUUCUUUUUGUCCCCUAGCUCCCCCUCAAACUCUUUCACCUCGUGUUGUUUUUCUGUGGUUAGAUAUUGUUGCUGUGUCCUGCGUCACACCAAUGGAAUUGAAGGCACAGGUUGUAAAAUGUCACUGCGUAGCUAUAAUGCAGAUUUGGGGAAGGAAGGAAGGGAGGACAGUAGUUUUGCAGAGGUUGCUAUCAAGGAGUUGGCAGAGGGGUUAAGAAGACACUCUCCGGAUUUUUAAAUCUGGGAGACUGUAUAUGCAUAGUUCAGAAAGUAGCGAAUGAUGACGCAGUGAUCUGCCUGGGAUGUUACUGGGUUUUAAAAGCAUCAAGAGGAACAGGUACACUGUGAAUCUCCAAGCCAGCUGAGAGGGACUGAGUUAAGAAGGGAAGAUAGCGUUUAGGAAUUAAAUGUCAUCAUUUUGGCGUUGGAAAGUUGUUUACCUUGCUCUCUCCAUGUCUCCAUGUUGGCAGCCUUCCAGCUCACAUGUGAUAGUCUUCCCUGUACUGCUGCAUCAUUAACUGAGUGCCUGAGCCUACACAUGAUUGGCUGGGGAGGGCCCUCAUUCUAAAUAGACAUUUCCAUUGGAGGGAGAUGCAGUGGCAGGUGAAAAGCUGCCUCAGAUUGGCUGGGGCCGGAUAUAAAAUCUAAAUAUUCCAUUCCUCUUUCUUUAAAAGGGGCUCUGAACAAUUUGUGACUUAAAAUAUUGGUUGUUUGCUUCUCUCCACCCCUCUUUCCCCUAAGCAGGCAUUUUGGAAUGUUUCUGUGUUCUCAAGGCUGGUCACUUAAAGAGAAAAACAAAAAGCAGGAACUUGAGUAUUGUGGAUUAGUUUAGUUUAUUACUGGUGCAAGUGACGCAGAAGGAAAAACAAAUAUUCUGUGACUCGAGUUGCAUCAGUAACAGGCGUGUUUCCGGCUGCUGUGAGACAAGCCACGAUGACGUGACAUUAUUAUAGGCUUCAGAGGAGACAAGAAAACGAGACUUUGGUGGGUGUCUACCUCUCUAAGUGGAGAAACUCUAACUAGAUGGAGCAAUUUACUUGCACUGUAACUCUUUGGGGCAGGGAGGUGCCUGUCACUGUACCUGUAAAAACCUGGACAGAACUAAACACUGAAAUGUGUCAUAGAUUACAUCAGUGUAACCUCAAAGUCAGUGCUGAGAUGGAAUUGAAUGGCAACAGAAUAUAGUGGUAAGAAAUCUGAAGUUUGUUUUUUGUCAUUUUGUUUUGUUUUUAAAGGAGGGGAUGGAGAGGUCUAAGAUACCCAGAGAAGAAUAGCUGGACAGUCAAGAAGAAUAAACCACCAGAUCGGGGGGGGGGGAGGACUGGCAUAUAGGUAGACGUGGUGCUUGCUUUAACCAUUUCAUGAACCCUGUUUUCCAUUCUAGUCCAUCCCAUAGCCAAUUCUAGUCAAAAAACCAAUUCUAUUCUGGAGGAUGGUGUCUAUCUUCUCUUCUCUUUGGAACCUACCAUAAAAUCUAGCGUAUCUAGUAUUAGCACAUAACAUAGGAGGGCGAGUUUCUUGUGGCAUUUUCUUAUAAAAUGCUCCAAUAAACUGAAGGGUUUACGAUGGUAUAAGGAUUCAUGUCGGUGACUCACCGGCAUAGAGAGCGUCAAGUUCAGACAGUCACUCGGCAGCAGUUUGUUAGGUUUGGAACCAGAUCAGAUGUAUUUUGAUUCUCCAUCGUAAUUUAUUUUAGAGUACUGUCUUCUCAAGUUUGGUUACAGGAUGAAUUCUCACCUGUAGGCUUUGAAAGCCUCAAGAAAGGUGAAUAGGCAUAGUCUAAUACUCACAUUUACUAGUUCAAAGGAGGUGGGGGGAGAGGAGUAAUAACCAGGAAGCCAUUUUUGGAGGCAGACAUGAUGCGUGAAAGGAGGAAGGCAGGGAAACAUGGCAGAUACACCCCUCCCAUAUUAUCCCCAUAUACGCACCUUUGUUUUUCCAUUCUCGUCUUCUUUGCUAAGUGCUAUACCUAAUUUGAAAAUCUUUCAUUGUAGGUGCAUCUCUCUCUCUCUCUCUCUCUCUCUCUCUCUCUCUCUCUCUCUCUCUCUCUCUCUUCUCCCCCCCCCCCCCGGCCCCAGUGUGAGCCCUUGCUCUGCAGAGCCGUCUCCUCCAGAGGCAGUCUUGCAUCCUGCAGUGCUAGUUCCGCAGAGGAGGGCAACAAGAGGCACAACUAUGAUGGCUGCUCCCUUGAAGGGAUGGACUCAGUGGUGACACCGUGCUUGUUCCUGGCAAGAGCUUGGAGAAUAUAAGGCAGCUGUGGCUGCUUGUGCAAGGGAAUCUAUGGGACCUGAAAUCUGUGAGAAGUGAGAGAGGGAUGACCUUUCUUUGGAUUAAUGGGGAAAGCCAGAUUGUCCAUCUUACGUGUCUGGAGUUAUUAAUACAAGGGCAUUGGAGGCAGCAUUACAUGUUCAUUUGCCAGAGAGACGGGAUACUAAACUUAGAAAGGAUGUGGAUUCUGCUCCAGUUGUAACCAUUUGUGAUGAUCUCUUCCAGAUUAUUUACUUGAAUCACAUUGGAACACCUUGCGUGUUCUGGACUGUGUACAACAAUGAAGCUCAGGUGGUGGGAUGAGACUCACCAGGGAAUAAUGGGAACUCUCUGGGUAGCUCAUUAGACUGCUUGUAGUUUAAACUGACAAUAAUCUAACACAGGUGACAGCAAUAAUUUAGUGCAGAGAAUAGUAAAGAAAUAAGGAUUUCUGGGCUUACAUUUGGAUGGAAACAGUGGCAUUUUUCAAAAACCAAUCAUUUUUAAAAAGCAUAUUGAAAACGUUGUGGAAUAGAUGGGUGUCCUAAUGUCAGGUCCUCAAAAGAUUGAACAAUUACCUACAAGUAGAAAAGCUCUUCACCCUCUCGCAAAAGUAUGCAGAACCCAAGGCAGCAUACAUGUGGUUCCCAGGCAGUCUCUCAUCCAGCAUUCUUACCUCAUGGACAAUCUUAUAUUGGAUGCUGAAACAGAUCACAGAGUUUGGAGAGAAUAACUCUUCUAAGAGCAGAAAUCCAAUCUCUUCUGGUAUAAGGUGGUUGACAUUCCUUGGUUCCAUCAAAACCUGAUGUGGAACAGAAGAAGCUAAUUGGAUCAACGGUGGAUGAACAUUCCUGCCACGUGCAGCAGAAAGACAAAAAGAAUAAAUGAAGCUGAGAUAAUAGUGCAUGAGAAAUGAAAUUUAAGAAGAAAACUAGUUUUUAAAGACUGAAGAAGCCAAGAAGGAAUAUGUAGAGAUGAGAGGUAUCUAAGAUCAUGGAGACACUUAAAAACAAGUAACAAGAAAACCAAUGCAAGAAAAGGAGAAAGGUCAAAACAAGAGGAAAGAAAAAGCAACCAGACAGCUUUUAAUGGCUGAAAGAAAGAAAUGGGGAAAAUAAUAUUACAACUCCCAGUAACAAUAAAUAUACUAAAUAUAUGUGUUAGCAGAAUCAAGGAUUCAGCAUGGUCAUUUCUUGGAAAUAUUGUCAAGGAAGUAUUUCAUUUUUACUGUUAUUAUGCAAUGCAAUUAAUAUACGUUACUCGCAACAAGAAAGGAUCUCUGGCUGAGGGACUUAACAUAAAAUUCAACUGUGGAGACAACUGAGGAAAAACAGGUAAAGAAUAUGAACACAGUCCCUCUGUUGUGCCUGGAUAUAGUUCCAUCUGAGAGCCCCUGCUAAUGUAUAUGAAGCUAAAUUAUCCUGUUAUGCAUAUUAAAUUAACUGUCUUUAAAAUCCCUUGGGGGUGGGGUUUACCCUGAAAGGUGGCAGGUAAGCACUUAGAA